UAUUUAUUUUCUUUUCAACUAAUUUAUAUGUUUUGGUGAAAGACAAGCUUAAAAUAUGCCCUAGACAUCUGGAGAAGGUGCAAGUUGGUGACUGUGAUGGUUCUGGUCUCUCAGGAAAAAUUCCCAUGUAGAGCUGGAGCUGCCCUGGGAAAGGCCUUUCUCCUGCACCACUGAGCUCUAGUGCUGCACCUGCUGCCUGCAUCGUUACAUUUGAUAUGCAAUUUUCCUGAAGAGCUCAAAGCAAAGACUGUUCCAGCCCCUACACAAUUUCCUCUGACCCGCUUUCAAGAUGUCAGCCCCGGAGCGAUGAAUGAAGUGCCCAGACCUGAACACAGCGCUCCAGAGACAGCUAUCCCAGAGGCAUGUAGGGAGCCAGCCCUCCCUUGGCAGUGACACCCUACCUGCACGGGUGAAAUGAAUGCAGUGUUUCAGCUGAAGUGAGCCUGUUUUCCAACUUUUAUGUAUUCAGAGACAGCUGGUAGGAAGCCUCUCUCUUUUUCAUUAAGGGGUAAAAUUGUAACUGAUUUUUUUUAAUGUCUACAAAAGCAUUGGGAAUUGGCAGGUCUGGAGACUGACACUUUCUUUUCACAUAUGGAAAUGUCUGUUCCUCUUCUAUGCUUCUCACCCCUAUCUAGAAACUGUAGUUGGUCAGCAAUGUUGUUCUUUCUAUUGAAACACUCGUCAUUUCUGAGAAUGUGACCCAUCAGGGUGCUAAAUCAGCACUACUGGUGAGAUAAGUAGUUUGAGCAAUAAUCUGAUUUAAGAAUAAUUAAGAUGUAGCAGAAAUACUUCUAGAUCUUAAAAAAACCCACACCCUGCUUUAUAAAACUAUCAAGGUACCUUUCAAGAGACACUUUCUGUAUAGAAGUAGGUUACUGAGUGCGGGAGAAACACUGAAUCUCAUUUGUUCCAGCAAACAUACUGAUCGACAGCCUUACAUUAUCAUAAUUCAUCUGGAUCUCACACCUUUACUAUUGUCUUAUUUGGGGCCUGGUUUUAGUUCUUUAUCUUUAUGGUAGACAUUUUGCAAGACUCCAGUAGCAACAUCCAUCCUGAUGAAAUGACACCAGAGGUCCAAGGAUGUAAACAAGCUGUGGUUAGUACAUAUCUGAAAAUUUGGGAAAAGCUUGAAAAUAGUGUUCGUUGGAAGAAUCUGCUGGUUACGAUAUUUCUGUUCUACUCCGCUCCACUCCUUUAUUUCUGUAGUUCACCAAAAACAUAUUUAGCCCUUUGAGCUGUCACAGCCAUCAAUCUUCUAAUACUUUACGCUCAUUCAAAAGAAUUAUUUUUGAAAAUAAUAAUCAGAGUUGGUAUCUGCAUUGCAAUGACAUCUUAGUCUGUUUUGGAGGUCAGAGCGGCAAACUAGCAGCCUUUUUCUGGAUUAAGGCUUGGAAAGACCUCAGUCCUCUGCUUAAUGACUAAAUACUGCCUUAGUGCUAAAGGCAGUCACACACAUAUACAUAUGUAUAUUUACACAUAUAUGCAUCUAGAGGCAAAAAAAUCCUACAGCCACAACAUUGUUUUUAAAAGACUCUAAUAUUUUGUUAAUCCUUCUGGUGGAAUAACAGAACAUUAGUUUUCUGUAUCAAACACUCCCAGAAACAAAAUCCACAAAGUACACACUUUCACUGAAGUCAAAUUCUAGCUCCUGCAGCAGGGAUAUAAACUGAAUGUCUUAAUGAAUGCCAGGUACAAAGUACCUACCCACAGCCGCCUUCCUUUCUCAGCUAACAGCUUGUAUUGGAGCAGCAUCAAAGCUGGCUACAGGCACAGCAAAUGUAUGCACCUGCAUGGAGUAAUUACCGAAGCUAAUGCCAGUAUGUAUUAGCUUCAGUGCUCUUGUGAAAAAAAGUAUGGAUUAACUCACAGCAUUCAUUAUUAUAGCUGUCUCACUGCACAUCCAUUUUUUAUGAGCACUUAUAAAGCAAUAUCCAUCUAUGUUCCUUUUUUAUUUCUGAUGAUGGAGUCCUUCAGCUGUGACAUUGGAGUGUACUUUAAAGCUACUCCUUUGUCUGCUUUUCUCCCUCUUUUUUUUUUCCCCAUUUCAAACUCAGCAUUAGUUUGCAGGUUACUGCUCAUGUCCUGCCACCACACAUAGACCUAUUGAUCUAUUUGCAACUUUUAUAUAAUAUUUACUUUUUAAUGUCCCAAUACUGAUUUCUUCCUCAUCAUCUGGAACUAGUGGGAAGAUUGCUUAGCCCCAAAAGACAAUUUAGAGAUCGCUUCUAAACAUCAAAAUGGCUUUGACAAUCAGUGCUGUCUGCAGUGGGUAUCCAUCUAAUGAAAACUGCAUUUAGACACUCCUGAUGUUUGAUGGGUAUUGUCCUAUGCUGGAAUAAAUGUGAAAACAGAAAUGAAAAGCUGCUACUUCUGUAACCAUUCUCUUGAGCUGUCCCCAAAACCACUUGAAAUUAUUUUUAUUGUGAAGUUACAAUUUCUUUUCUGUGAAA